CUCAAAAGUGCUGAAUGGCAAAAUUAGUUAUAAGGCAUAAGCUUACAGUUUUUAAAUAUUUUUGCAUUAUGGGAAAUGCGUUGACGCAUUAGACUCAGAUUUGCAGAUUUUCAAUUAGUUACAUACACUAAUUAUUUUGUUAGACUGCUUCUGCUAACUUACUGCACUUAUGUUCCACUUUAUGGUGAGGUAUUUUGUGCGACACAGACGUCACAGUGGGGACCACGUGUAGACAGCGUGGAGCCUGAUGCAAAUCUGUAUGUUUUCCAGUUUUCCGUUAGUCUCACUUGUAUGACAUCAAUUUGAUCGUUAGCAAUAUCCGAGAAUUCCAUUGCGGACCGGAGACGGUGCGGACGACGGACAGAAUGACGACGCCAACCGCGGAAACCCCGCUGGAUAUUCGGGGAUGGAAGCUGGAAGGGGACCGCGGCGACGGUGGCUUCAAGAGCGACCAGCGCGCGACGUCACUGCCGCAGCCAGCCAAGACUCUGUGGUUGAGUGCGGAAGAAAGUGAUCAUCGCGUGCUGGCUGAUUAUAUCGAAGGGAUGUUAACUGCGGAAAAAGGGGAAACAUUACUGGAACUUGGUGCAGACUCUACGAGAGGUAUAUAUUUGUUUGUAAAUUUAAGUUUAUGGAUAUCAAGUGUCGAAGCUGUGUGCAAAAGGAAACGGUAACUGAAAUUUACAAUUUUUCAUUUUUCAGUUUUGCUCUUUUUCAUUACAGUUCUUUACAAUUUUAAUUUUGAGGCAGUGAUAUGGGUUAACAUUAUUUACGUUAAUACCUUGUGACAGGCAAGCACAGAGAGCUCACAGAUGACUUUAUUGUACUAAUAAAGUGGAGCAAAUG